CCUACGGGGGGCAGCAGUGAGGAAUAUUGGUCAAUGGCCGGAACGCUGAACCAGCCAUGCCGCGUGAAGGUCAGUGCCCUAUGGGCGUUAAACUUCUUUUGUGCGGGAGCAAUAAUGGUCACGUGUGGCCAGACGAGAGUACCGUACGCAUAAGCAUCGGCUAACUCCGUGCCAGCAGCCGCGGUAAUACGGGGGAUGCAAGCGUUAUCCGGAUUUAGUGGGGUUAAAGGGUGCGCAGGCGGCGUGUCAAGUCAGCGGUAAAAGGUCGGGGCUAAACCCCGGACGGCCGUGGAAACUGGCGGGCUUGAGUUGGAGAGAAGUAGGCGGAAUUCGUGGUGUAGCGGUGAAAUGCAUAGAUAUCACGAAGAACCCCGAUUGCGAAGGCAGCAUACCGGCUCCACACUGACGCUGAGGCACGAAAGCGUGGGUAUCGAACAGGAUUAGAUACCCCAGUAGUC
rnacentral:rRNA from 1 species